rnacentral:rRNA from 1 species
GACGAACGCUGGCGGCGUGCUUAAUACAUGCAAGUCGAACGGAAAGGCCCUGCGUUUGUGGGUUGCUCGAUUGGCGAACGGGUGUGUAACACGCGUGUAACCUGUCCUUGACUUUGGGAUAACUUCAGGAAACUGCGGCUCUUAUCGGAUAGGAGCUCCUGCAGCAUGGUGGGCGUUGGAAAGUUUCGGCGGUUUGGGCUGGACUCGCGGCUUAUCAGCUUGUUGGUGGGGUAGUGGCUUACCAAGGCUUUGACGGCUAGCCGGCCUGAGAGGGUGACCGGCCACCAUGGGACUGAGGUAGGGACCAGAAGCGUACGGGAGGCAGUGGUGGAAAACCUGGCGCAAUGAGCGGGAGCCUGUGACAACAGCGCCGGGUGCGGAAUGACGGGUUACGGGUUGUAAACCAAUUUGGCCUGAGACGAAGCGGGCGUGACGGUAAUGGGUAAAGAAGCACCGGCUAACUACGUG